GUGCUCGCUUCGGCAGCACAUAUACUAAAAAAGGAACAAUACAGAGAAGAUUAGCAUGGCCCCUGCACAAGGAUGACACACAAAUUUGUGAAGCGUUCCAUAUUUUA
rnacentral:snRNA from 1 species